rnacentral:rRNA from 1 species
UACGUAGGGGGCAAGCGUUGUCCGGAAUCAUUGGGCGUAAAGCGCGUGUAGGCGGCUCAGUAAGUCCGCUCUGAAAGCCCGGGGCUCAACCCCGGGAGGCGGGUGGAUGACUGUUGAGCUUGAGUCCGGAAGAGGCGAGUGGGAAUUCCCGGUGUACGCGGUGAAAUGCGCAGAUAUCGGGAGGAACACCAAUGGCGAAGGCAGCUCGCUGGGACGUGACUGACGCUGAGACGCGAAAGCGUGGGGAGCAAACAGG